rnacentral:rRNA from 1 species
GCGGCGGACGGGUGAGUAAUGCUUAGGAAUCUGCCUAUUAGUGGGGGACAACAUUCCGAAAGGAAUGCUAAUACCGCAUACGCCCUACGGGGGAAAGCAGGGGAUCUUCGGACCUUGCGCUAAUAGAUGAGCCUAAGUCAGAUUAGCUAGUUGGUGGGGUAAAGGCCUACCAAGGCGACGAUCUGUAGCGGGUCUGAGAGGAUGAUCCGCCACACUGGGACUGAGACACGGCCCAGACUCCUACGGGAGGCAGCAGUGGGGAAUAUUGGACAAUGGGCGCAAGCCUGAUCCAGCCAUGCCGCGUGUGUGAAGAAGGCCUUUUGGUUGUAAAGCACUUUAAGCGAGGAGGAGGCUACUUGGAUUAAUACUCUUGGAUAGUGGACGUUACUCGCAGAAUAAGCACCGGCUAACUCUGUGCCAGCAGCCGCGGUAAUACAGAGGGUGCGAGCGUUAAUCGGAUUUACUGGGCGUAAAGCGUGCGUAGGCGGCUUUUUAAGUCGGAUGUGAAAUCCCUGAGCUUAACUUAGGAAUUGCAUUCGAUACUGGGAAGCUAGAGUAUGGGAGAGGAUGGUAGAAUUCCAGGUGUAGCGGUGAAAUGCGUAGAGAUCUGGAGGAAUACCGAUGGCGAAGGCAGCCAUCUGGCCUAAUA